CCUUAUCAUGAGCCUUUCUUUCCGUGGCGUUCCAGAUGUCAGCGUGUCUCAGUGGGGGGUCUCUCCUCCGGCCCAAGCUGGAAUGUUCUGGCCUGGUUUAUCACUCUGAGGUCUGUGAGUCAAAAGGAAAAAGCCACAUCUUCCAACUGAGUCUGGUUCGUUUAUCCCCUCUGCCUCCCUUGAGUCCCAAAACAAAUGUUUGACUUGAUUAUCUUUCAGACGCCGCAGAAACGUGUCGUUAUUUAAGGAAAGCCGACCUGAGGCUGGUAAAUAUCUGAUAGGUGAGUAAUGACAAGUCUUCAGAGUUAUUUAUUCAGCCAUGUCAAGAUGGGGCCUGCCUGCACUGAUCCGCCGCUGCUUUAUUCUUAUCUACCAGCCAUUGGUGAUGUGUUUACUUUCCUCGCCAAAUAUCCGCCGUGAACUCCUUCCUCAUCUUGUACCGACUUGCAGGGAAACGGAGAGAAGCUCUGAAUUUAACAUGAAAAUAAAUAACAUAAAACCUUCAGGCAACAAAACCUUUAAAGCCCUUCUGUAAAUAAAAUGAGACAAAAAUAAAAAGGAAUAAGGAUUUCAAAAAAUGAUCCUGGCUGAAGGAAUUCUGCUUUACAGGCCCAAAUGUUUUCUACUGAGAACCAACAGUCAGUCAGCUAAACACUAAACGUGGUUUUGCUAUAAUGAGUCAGUACCUUUGUUUCCAUUGACCAUAAAACUGUACAAUAAAUUCAAAAACUAAAAUGCAUAAAUUUGGUAAAAAACACGUUUCUUGAUUAAAACUUUUGCCAAUAUGAAGAGAUUUUUUUACCAUUUCAAAAUUGGUUUAUCUUGAAAAACAGCAAUGGAAAAACUUUUUCGCAUGUGACCCGAGUCACAUGGUCAACCGCAGGAUGUUACCACUGGCCGAAACGACAAAGAUGACAGGAAGUGGUCGUCUUUGUCGACAAAGUAUUCUUGAUUUUUGAUUGGGGACAAAAACUGCAAAUGUUUUCAAUCAACAUUUACAGCAUUUUCAAAUGUUGAGUGGGGAAAAUUUCACAUUUAAACAAAAAGGGGGGAGUAAAUUUCCAACAAGAAAAGUUUUUCUGGUAAAAAUAAGAAAAUUUCAGAGUUUGAAAAGUCAAAAAUAUGCUAGAAAAAACACCAGAAAUUUUUAGAUUAAUCUCUGAAAAUUUUCUAGAAAAACUUAGAAAUUUCUGAGUUUCAAAUAUCACAAAUUUCCUAGAAAAAAAUCUCAGAAAUUUUUGAGAAAAAACUUCUGAAUUUUUGAGUUUGAAAAGUCAAGACUUUGCUAGAAAAAAAUCUGAAAUUUUUAUGAAAAAACUUUUAGACAACUAAAUCUUGUGUAGUUCCCAUGCCAGGCCACAAGAUGGCGCUGUGGUUUUCGCAUAUAGACGAAAUAUGCAUGAGCUUUAGGUUCCAAACGGGCCGAUGGUCAUUUCAGAGUGUCUGUUAAAAUUAAGUUAAAUUAAUUAGAUUUAGGUCAAACAGAACCGAUUUGUCCUGCAGAAAGUAAACACACUCUGUGGGUUGGUCAGUAAGUUAACACACCCUGCUGAACCUCUCGGCUCGUUAACUCGGUAAUCGGUUUGCUGCUCGUUAGCUAGCUGCCGUUUGUUCUCUCAACCGCCUGAAAUUGAAAACUUUAGUUUAUUUUGCUGAGCAGCUGGAUUAUAGCUCAGUAACUUCAAAAUAAAAUGCUUCUCCUGGUGUUUCUGUGUCUCUAAACAUGGGCUGGUCUUUCCGCGUUGUAUUUCCCCUCUUUCUUUGGACAUAGUUCUUUGUUUUCCCUGCAGAGAUCAGAUUUCAGCUCAUCUGCUGAACUUUGAGCCGUUUUGAAGGAAACCUCGGCAUGCAGGAAGGCGUGACAACGGAGAGAAAGGAAACUUCGGCCUCUGCUGGGGUUUUCGCUGCGCAGGGAGCAGAAACGUUUGGAGAACAUCUGCAGGGCUGCAUCAGUUGAACCUCCAUGAAGUGGAGCUGAGUCACAGUCUGGCGCGUUAAUCAGCGAAGAUCAGCGCGUCGCAUUUCUUCCACAUGAGCUGAACGGCUGGAGGGCGAAGAACAAACAGCGGCCAAAUUCAGUGGGUUUUGAAGAAGAAAGGGGUUGGAUACCUUUUAUGUCCACUGGCGUCGUUUUGAAGAAGAGAGCAGAGAAGAAGUUAGUUUACACGAGGCCGCGGGAUGCUGCAGGCCUCGCCGGCUUUAGGAGGAAGAGGAGGAGGAAGAGGAGGAGCGUGUUUAGCAGGCGGAGGGGUUAGUAUCCCCGCGGAGACGCUGGAGUCCGGAGAGCUCAUGGGCGUUAGCGUGACGGAGGAAAUCUCCAGACAGGACAGCGACGACACGCUGUGAAACCAGAAGAGAGAGGACGGCCUGUGCAGCAGGAAGGAUUCGCCCGCCGCAUCCGGCGGCUGUGGAGAGACGGCGCAGCGCCACCACAGAAGAAGACUGGUUAGUCAGAGAGCAGCGCUACGCUAACCGCCAUGCUAACCGCACCGCGAGGCAGAGAGCGGAUUGAGAAACCGCUUCGCCUGCUCUCAAACGAACCAACUCACAUAAAAAAUAAAACUUUCAGGUUCCAUUGUUUCUCUCAGGAAUCGGAGCUCAAAUCGAGGAACCGCCAGGUACCCAGAGCCCGCCGAUCUGCUUCCUGGUCUCCACGUCUUUCCCUCCAGACUCCAGAAACUUCUUGUAGGCCAAGUCGAAGGCCUGGCCGAUGGUGAGGGUGAUCUCCUCCGCCUGAAAGACACGAUUCACCUGAAACGUCGCACAGCCUCCAGGGUUUGGAAACAAAAAACUAAAAGCACGUACACAUUUUUCACUGUCGAACACGUAGCAGAGGUGUUUGUUGGACUCCGAGUCUUUGCAGAUGAAGGUGAAUAUCCGUUUGUCCGUCUUGUCGUCGGCGCAGAAGGAUAUCCGGUGCAGCUGACAGUUAUGCUGCACAUCCUGCGACACAAAUCCUCCGUUAUUCAGACUGGAUCAACCGGAUCUCUUCUGGAAGGAAACCACUUUCACAUCGUGAUGAAAUCUGAAUAUGUAUGAAACCCUCUGCUGUUUCAUAUGGGAGGUUUCUGCUCCUCCACCAUCAGUUUCAGCCAAACUGCAGAGAACUGGACCCAUCUGGACUCACCUUGGUUUUGGGGUCCAGGAUCUUGACUCCGUAGAUGGAGAUCUGAAGCUCCACUUUGGGAAUCUUCUGGCCCUCCGACUUCUUGAUGUGCCUCUGAAACUGUCACAGACACCAAAAAGAGAAAUGAGAUUUUCUAGUUGUUUGGUCAUGACCUUUAACCUUUGACCUGCUUCACACCCCGACUCUGGGCUGAAUCUGCUGGAAAUAUUGUAUUUACCUUCCAUGUGUAGCAUUACGUUAGCUAAAUAAUAUUAGCAUAGCAGUUUAGCAUUAGCUAAAUGUUCAUGGUUAGUGCUAUAGAAUUAGUGUAGCUAACUUAGCGAUGCCCAACGUUGCAAAAUCUCAAAAAAACAGGAUAGCAGAUGUAUGGAAAGCCAAACAGGUCAAAGUUGUUGUACUUUGCACAGUGUUUUCUAGUAAGCACUCUGAUAAAGAUGAAACUUUUUAAUAUAAUUAUAGAAAUAAAAUGUGUUUUUAUUGUGUUUGCAGCUGACUGAUAGUCAGUAAAUCACUGCAUGAAUCUUGAAGUUUUCAUACAAAUUAAUGAUAAAUCUGACAUAAAUUAACUUCCCUUUGGGUUUAAAAAAAUAUUUUUAAUGUAAUUAGAGAUAUUCUAAUUUACUAAUUUGUCUUAUCAUAAACUAAUUUCAGUGUGUUGAAGAGGAUUUUAUGGUAAAAUGGCUUGCCGUAGCCCUAAUGACCCUUCCCAGGUUGAUGGGCAGCAGCAGUUGCUGUGUUGUCGCAACCUUUCAGGAUAAAAUCUGUUCAUUUAACCUGAACUUCAUGCUUGAGUGUAUCAUUGUGAAAGUAUUCAGGCAUGUUUUUUCUGGAUGUGAACUCAGAGGAGGCGUAGCUGAGCUGUAUCUGGGAUGGUAACCAUGGCGACCUGGUCUCCACCAUGAGACAUGUUGCAACAAUGGAGUCCUGGCGUUGGGAGAACAGGCCUCCCCAUCGGCGGCCUCAGGAUUUGGCAGGAGGCGUUGGUAAAAGGCCGGGCCUGGAGUGGGAUGUAUGCUGGGAGGAGGCCAGGUCAAAGGUCAUCCACUGGGGAGUUCAGGGAAACUAUUCACUUAAAUCCCGAACAACAACUACAGUAGACUAUCUGAGAGUUUAUGACCAGUUUUACCAGUAAAAUUAGUUUCUACAGCUGCGUUUCAUUACAAAUGAGUAAACCUUUAUCAAUAUUCAGCUAAUAACGACACAAUUUAAAUGAUUUCUGUGUUUCUAUUAAAUAAGAAACAAAAUAAAUAAGUUUGUUCACGUGAUAAGUUAUUAAAAAACAUCAUCCUACUACUUCUGGUCUUCUUUGUAGUUUCUGUCAGUAGUGACAUCCUGUUGUUGAUCAUGUGACUCAUGAUAUGAAAAAGGUUUUUCCAUUGCAGCUUUGGGAAAUAAACCAAUUUUGACACCAAUAAAAC